GACGAACCACACGAACGUUAUCCGGAAUUACUGGGCUUAAAGGGUGCGUAGGCUGUGCGGAAAGUUGGGUGUGAAAUCCCACGGCUCAACCGGGGAAUUGCGCUCAAAACUACCGUGCUGGAGGAAGACAGAGGUGAGCGGAACUUCGGGUGGAGCGGUGAAAUGCGUUGAUAUCCGAAGGAACACCGGUGGCGAAAGCGGCUCACUGGGUCUUUUCUGACGCUGAUGCGCGAAAGCUAGGGGAGCAAACGGG
rnacentral:rRNA from 1 species